GAUGAACGCUGGCGGCGUGCCUAAUACAUGCAAGUCGAGCGAAUGGAUUAAGAGCUUGCUCUUAUGAAGUUAGCGGCGGACGGGUGAGUAACACGUGGGUAACCUGCCCAUAAGACUGGGAUAACUCCGGGAAACCGGGGCUAAUACCGGAUAACAUUUUGAACCGCAUGGUUCGAAAUUGAAAGGCGGCUUCGGCUGUCACUUAUGGAUGGACCCACGUCGCAUUAGCUAGUUGGUGAGGUAACGGCUCACCAAGGCAACGAUGCGUAGCCGACCUGCGAGGGUGGUCGGCCACACUGGGACUGAGACACGGCCCAGACUCCUACGGGAGGCAGCAGUAGGGAAUCGUCCGCAAUGGACGAAAGUCUGACGGAGCAACGCCGCGUGAGUGAUGAAGGCUCUCGGGUCGUAAAACUCUGUUGUUAGGGAAGAACAAGUGCUAGUUGAAUAAGCUGGCACCUUGACGAUACCUAACCAGAAAGCCACGGCUAACUACGUGCCAGCCGCCGCAGUAA
rnacentral:rRNA from 1 species